UACGUAGGGGGCAAGCGUUGUCCGGAUUUAUUGGGCGUAAAGAGCUCGUAGGUGGUUCGGUAAGUCGGAUGUGAAAUCUCCAGGCUCAACCUGGAGGGGUCAUUCGAUACUGCCGUGACUAGAGUUCGGUAGGGGAGUGUGGAAUCCCUGGUGGAGCGGUGAAAUGCGCAGAUAUCAGGAGGAACACCCGUAGCGAAGGCGGCACUCUGGGCCGAUACUGACACUGAGGAGCGAAAGCGUGGGGAGCGAACAGG
rnacentral:rRNA from 1 species